UCGCGCAAGCGAGGGAGUGGCGGACGGGUGAGUAACACGUGGGUUAUCUACCUCGGGGUGAGGAAUACCGGCGAGAAAUCGCCGACAAUACCGCAUACCCUUCCUUGCAAGAGGAAGCAAAGCUCUGGUAACAGAGCGCCUGGAGAUGAGCCUGCGCCCGAUUAGCUAGUUGGUGGGGUAAAAGCUCACCAAGGCGACGAUCGGUAGCUGGUCUGAGAGGACGAUCAGCCACACUGGGAUUGAGAACGGCCCAGACUCCUACGGGGGGCAGCAGUGAGGAAUCUUCGUCAAUGGGGGAAACCCUGAACGAGCAACGCCGCGUGCAGGAUGAAGGUCUUCGGAUCGUAAACUGCUUUUCUGGAGGACGAGUAAGGACGGUACUUCAGGAAUCAGCCCCGGCUAACUACGUGCCAGCAGCCGCGGUAAUACGUAGGGGGCGAGCGUUGUCCGGAGUUACUGGGCGUAAAGGGCACGCAGGCGGUCUGUUAAGUUUGAAGUGACAGUCUUCGGCUCAACCGAGGAAGGCCUUUGAAAACUGGCAGACUUGAGGGCUUCAGAGGGACACGGAAUUCCGGGUGUAGUGGUGAAAUGCGUAGAUAUCCGGAGGAACACCAAAGGCGAAGGCAGUGUCCUGGGAAGUCUCUGACGCUGAGGUGCGAAAGCCAGGGGAGCGAACGGGAUUAGAUACCCCGGUAGUCCUGGCCGUAAACGAUGACCACUAGGCGUGGGGGGUAUCGACCCCUUCCGUGCCGUCGCUAACGCAGUAAGUGGACCGCCUGGGGAGUACGGUCGCAAGAUUAAAACUC
rnacentral:rRNA from 1 species